GCGCGAUUAACUCAGUGGUAGAGCGCUUGCUUCUCACGCAAGAAGUCGCAUGUUCGAAUCCUGCAUCGCGCACCA
rnacentral:tRNA from 1 species